ACGGAGGGAGCUAGCGUUGUUCGGAAUCACUGGGCGUAAAGCGUGCGUAGGCGGUGACUCAAGUCAGAGGUGAAAGCCUGGAGCUCAACUCCAGAACUGCCUUUGAAACUAGGUCGCUAGAACAUCGGAGAGGUGAGUGGAAUUCCGAGUGUAGAGGUGAAAUUCGUAGAUAUUCGGAAGAACACCAGUGGCGAAGGCGGCUCACUGGACGAUUGUUGACGCUGAGGCACGAAAGCGUGGGGAGCAAACAG
rnacentral:rRNA from 1 species